rnacentral:rRNA from 1 species
AGUGAACGCUGGCGGUAGGCCUAACACAUGCAAGUCGAACGGCAGCACAGUAAGAGCUUGCUCUUACGGGUGGCGAGUGGCGGACGAGUGAGGAAUACAUCGGAAUCUACUUUUUCGUGGGGGAUAACGUAGGGAAACUUACGCUAAUACCGCAUACGACCUACGGGUGAAAGCAGGGGAUCUUCGGCCCUUGCGCGAUUGAAUGAGCGGAUGUCGGAUUAGCUAGUUGGCGGGGUAAAGGCCCACCAAGGCGACGAUCCGUAGCUGGUCUGAGAGGAUGAUCAACCACACUGGAACUGAGACACGGUCCAGACUCCUACGGGAGGCAGCAGUGGGGAAUAUUGGACAAUGGGCGCAAGCCUGAUCCAGCCAUACCGCGUGGGUGAAGAAGGCCUUCGGGUUGUAAAGCCCUUUUGUUGGGAAAGAAAAGCAGCAGGUUAAUACCCCGCUGUUCUGACGGUACCCAAAGAAUAAGCACCGGCUAACUUCGUG